AAUAGAUACCCGGGUAGUCCACGCCGUAAACGAUGAGUGCUAAGUGUUAGAGGGUUUCCGCCCUUUAGUGCUGCAGCUAACGCAUUAAGCACUCCGCCUGGGGAGUACGGUCGCAAGACUGAAACUCAAAGGAAUUGACGGGGGGCCCGCACAAGCGGUGGAGCAUGUGGUUUAAUUCGAAGCAACGCGAAGAACCUUACCAGGUCUUGACAUCCCACUGACCGGUAUAGAGAUAUACCUUUCCCUUCGGGGACAGUGGUGACAGGUGGUGCAUGGUUGUCGUCAGCUCGUGUCGUGAGAUGUUGGGUUAAGUCCCGCAACGAGCGCAACCCUUGAUCUUAGUUGCCAGCGUUUAGUUGGGCACUCUAAGGUGACUGCCGGUGACAAACCGGAGGAAGGUGGGGAUGACGUCAAAUCAUCAUGCCCCUUAUGACCUGGGCUACACACGUGCUACAAUGGAUGGUACAAAGGGCUGCAAGACUGCGAAGUCAAGCCAAUCCCAUAAAAACCAUUCUCAGUUCGGAUUGCAGGCUG
rnacentral:rRNA from 1 species